rnacentral:rRNA from 1 species
AGUAUAAGCAACUAUACGGUGAAACUGCGAAUGGCUCAUUAAAUCAGUUAUCGUUUAUUUGAUAGUACCCUACUACAUGGAUAACCGUGGUAAUUCUAGAGCUAAUACAUGCUAAAAACCCCGACUUCGGAAGGGGUGUAUUUAUUAGAUAAAAAACCAACGCCCUUCGGGGCUCCCUGGUGAAUCAUAAUAACUUAACGAAUCGCAUGGCCUUGCGCCGGCGAUGGUUCAUUCAAAUUUCUGCCCUAUCAACUUUCGAUGGUAGGAUAGUGGCCUACCAUGGUUUCAACGGGUAACGGGGAAUUAGGGUUCGACUCCGGAGAGGGAGCCUGAGAAACGGCUACCACAUCCAAGGAAGGCAGCAGGCGCGCAAAUUACCCAAUGCCGACACGGCGAGGUAGCGACAAUAAAUACUGAUACAGGGCUCUUUUGGGUCUUGUAAUUGGAAUGAGUACAAUUUAAAUCCCUUAACGAGGAACAAUUGGAGGGCAAGUCUGGUGCCAGCAGCCGCGGUAAUUCCAGCUCCAAUAGCGUACAUUAAAGUUGUUGCAGUUAAAAAGCUCGUAGUUGAACCUUGGGCCUGGCUGGCCGGUCCGCCUCACCGCGUGCACUGGUCCGGCCGGGCCUUUCUUUCUGGGGAACCGCAUGGCCUUCACUGGCCGUGCCGGGGAACCAGGACUUUUACUUUGAAAAAAUUAGAGUGUUCAAAGCAGGCCUUUGCUCGGAUACAUUAGCAUGGAAUAAUAGAAUAGGACGCGUGGUUCUAUUUUGUUGGUUUCUAGGACCGCCGUAAUGAUUAAUAGGGAUAGUCGGGGGCAUCUGU